ensembl:rRNA 5S_rRNA 5S ribosomal RNA
GUCUAUAAACAUACCACCCUGAACACACCCGAUCUCAUCCGAUCUCGGAAGCGAAGCAGGGUCGGGCCUGGUUAGUACUUGGAAGGGAGACCGAUUGAAGUCUUAACGAUACAAACC